rnacentral:rRNA from 1 species
GAUGAACGCUGGCGGCGUGCCUAAUACAUGCAAGUCGAGCGAACGGACGAGAAGCUUGCUUCUCUGAUGUUAGCGGCGGACGGGUGAGUAACACGUGGAUAACCUACCUAUAAGACUGGGAUAACUUCGGGAAACCGGAGCUAAUACCGGAUGAUAUUUUGAACCGCAUGGUUCAAAAGUGAAAGACGGUCUUGCUGUCACUUAUAGAUGGAUCCGCGCUGCAUUAGCUAGUUGGUAAGGUAACGGCUUACCAAGGCAACGAUGCAUAGCCGACCUGAGAGGGUGAUCGGCCACACUGGAACUGAGACACGGUCCAGACUCCUACGGGAGGCAGCAGUAGGGAAUCUUCCGCAAUGGGCGAAAGCCUGACGGAGCAACGCCGCGUGAGGGAUGAAGGUCUUCGGAUCGUAAAACUCUGUUAUUAGGGAAGAACAUAUGUGUAAGUAACUGUGCACAUCUUGACGGUACCUAAUCAGAAAGCCACGGCUAACGACG